GAUGAACGCUGGCGGCGUGCCUAAUACAUGCAAGUCGAGCGAACAGACGAGGAGCUUGCUCCUCUGACGUUAGCGGCGGACGGGUGAGUAACACGUGGAUAACCUACCUAUAAGACUGGGAUAACUUCGGGAAACCGGAGCUAAUACCGGAUAAUAUAUUGAACCGCAUGGUUCAAUAGUGAAAGACGGUUUUGCUGUCACUUAUAGAUGGAUCCGCGCCGCAUUAGCUAGUUGGUAAGGUAACGGCUUACCAAGGCAACGAUGCGUAGCCGACCUGAGAGCGAGAGCGGCCACAAGGGAACUGAGACACGGUCGAGACGACCACGGGAGGCAGCAGUAGGGAAUGUGUCGCAAUGGGCGAAAGAAUGACGGAGAAAAGUAGCGGGAAUGAUGAAGGUAGUCGGAUCGUAAAACUCUGUGAGUAGUGAAGAACAAAAGUGUAAGUAAGUAUGAACGGCGAGAAGGGACCGAAUCAGAACGCAACGGCAAACUACGUG
rnacentral:rRNA from 1 species